AUUGAACGCUGGCGGCAGGCCUAACACAUGCAAGUCGAACGCGUGGCGGACGGGUGUGUAAUGUCUGGGAAACUGCCUGCUGGAGGGGGAUCACUACUGGAAACGGUAGCUAAUAUCGCACACCAUCGGAUGUGCCCAGAUGGGAUUAGCUAGUAGGUGGGGUAAUGGCUCACCUAGGCGACGAUCCCUAGCUGGUCUGAGAGGAUGACCAGCCACACUGGAACUGAGACACGGUCCAGACUCCUACGGGAGGCAGCAGUGGGGAAUAUUGCACAAUGGGCGCAAGCCUGAUGCAGCCAUGCCGCGUGUAUGAAGAAGGCCUUCGGGUUGUAAAGUACUUUCAGCGGGGAGGCGUUACCCGCAGAAGAAGCACCGGCUAACUCCGUGCCAGCAGCCGCGGUAAUUC
rnacentral:rRNA from 1 species